UUCACGGUGAUGGGGCUGACCGGCUGCCCUCUCCUGCCGCCGUUGCUGCUGGCGUUGAUCAUGAGGCCGAGGAGGUCCUUGGCGCACCCUUGGAGCCUCUCGUCGUCCGUGGCCUCCUGCCGCCGGCCGAUGAGCGUCACCAGGUUCUUCCUGAUCUCCUUGUCCAGUUUCCACGAGCUCGUGUUCUUCUUGGUCGGCAAGAACCUGGAUGCGGAUGAAGACCUUGCGGAAUGCCUCGGAGGCGAAGGCCAUUAGCUGCGUCUGCAGCUUGAAGACUGCCUUGCCGUCCUCGUAGCUCCGGCCAAAGGCCGUGCGCGUGAUGGCGUCCUCUGUCACGAUCUGGAACCACUCGGACACGUCGAUCUCGACCUCGCCGGACGCGGGGUCGGCCAUGGUGACCCACUUCUCCGCCAUGUCCACCACCGUCUUCCCGAUGAACGGCAGCAGCAUCUGCGGCGUCGCCAUGCACGUCAGCACCAACCACAACCCGAUCGCAUCACCGCCAUAAUGCCCAAGGAGGCAAGGGCGGCAGAGCCAAUUUGGUAAAGGAGGGGACCGAGCGACCGACCUUGAGGUUCUCCAUGUGGAAGGUGGGCGCGAGCACCCUGCGGUGGUGCGCCCACUUCUCGCCGCGCAGGCUGACGAGCCCCUCCCCCUCGAGCUGCCGCACCAUGGGGUGCGACUCGUAGCGGUCGAAGUGCUCUGCGCGCGAGAGGAGGAUCUCCCGGAUGAGGUCGGGGUCGGCCACGGCGAGCCGCGGCGUCGGGCCGAACCAUAUGAGGAACGUGGAGCCUGUGAGCAGCAGCAAAAUUAAGUGGCCGUGAGCGACAAGCAGGCAAGCAAACGAGGGGAUCAAUGAUUGACGAGGGAGGCCAUGUUCCGCCACAUCAGCAUCCACCAGACUCAGCGGGAGAAGACGCUGGCAUGGCAUGACACGACAUGGGCACAAAAAUACAGACAUAAAUACAUACAGCAAGGUUACUGGUACCGCUACGCUAAUUAAGCUGCAAAAAUGCCAAUGCGGCAUGAACGCACAAGGCACCAGGAGAAGACGCUGGCAUGGCAUGGGUACACACAUAUACGUAGAAAAAUGCAGGCAUAAAUACAUAGAUACAUACAUACAGCAAGGUGGCAAUCAGUUCCCACGACUACUAAGCUGCAAAACUAUGGCCCAAGCAAGAUGAGUUACAGUCUGAAGAACGACUAGUACUAUAAGCAAGCAGAGGAUGGAGCAGUGGCAGGUGGUGGAAGAACUGGUGAGGGACUGCGACGGGGCAGCACAGCAGUGGAUGUGGAUGUGGAUGGCGUUGCGCAAGGCCAUACGGGAGUAAAUGGGAAUGGCGACGGAUGGGCCGACGGACGGUGGCCGGCCGGCCGGGGAAGCGAGGGGGGAGCAGAAAAGGAAAUGUGUAGGCUCGCUCAUGUCCGAGGGGGCGGCAAGCAGGGAAUAGACCCGUGGCCACCUAACCGGGCUGCAGCCGGGGGACAGCGAUAACGAGAGACAACUACGGCAAACCACUCCGACAAGCCAAGGCCAGGCGCUCGACAUGCCACUUAAUGCAUGUCACUCCAAGGCGGCAUUUCGGGAACAAGACGCGCUCGCUCGACAACAGCUGCUGCAAGUUGUUGCCGCUGCCUGCCUGCCUGUCGCUCUUCUCUCUUCUCUCUGUUCUGUUUGCCACCGAUCCCAUUCUCUUGAUUUUCGUUCUGAAUUUUGUUUUCUUUCCUUGUUCUCUUCAUUCAUCAGAUUAAAAGGAGGCAAAAAGAAGAAGAAAAAGAGUUUGUCGUUGGGAGAUCAAGCAAACAAAGGAAGAAGCAGAGUGUGCCGAGGAAGACGAAGAAGCAAGCAAGGCCAUGGAAUGGUAUGGUUGAGGACGUAUGUGUUUACCGUAGAUUUUCUUCCAGUGGUGGUAGAAGGCGAGGACGCGGGGGAGGACGUUGUGGGAGCGGUAGGGUGGCGGCAUUGGCUUGGCGGAGGCGGCCACCAUGAGCGCCACCAUCUCCCGGACGCACCCGAUGAAGAAGCGGUAGGGCGGGCCCCUGAUCCCCUGCCGCGCGAAGUGCUCCUCCACGCGCCGCGGCCGCCACCACAGCACCUCCAUCAGCUUGGCCGCCACGUACGCCAGCGCCGCCGCCGCCGCCGCGAUCCACCACCAGCCCAUCAUCCGCACCAACAGCACCGCUCAAUUCUAUGCAGGCAUGCAUCAACCAGUAACACCAUUAUGUUUGGAGCUGCUAGAGAGAUCACAUCAGACGUGCUGGUUUGCAACAUUUGGUGCGUGCGUCCGUCCGCAUUGAAGCUAGCUACCUGAGGCAUCAAAACGCUGGCCUGACCGAUGAACAAGAUCUCUGGCUAUCUAGGCACUGUUUGCGUCGAGCGGUGUGCCCCCGAGAACGUGCCAAAGUUUCCUUCUGGGUGCUGUGUGCGUGAUGUGAGAAGCAAAGCUUAGCUCCUACAGUGGCUGCAGCUAGCAGCGGACGGCCGGAGGAGAGGAGCCAUGCAUGCAGGCAGUGCGCGGCGCUGUUGCUGCGAUGCGUGACGGUGGUGGUGGCCAAGGAUGGAGAUGAGAGUGAGCGAGGGAGGGAAAAGACUUGACAUGCAAUUGGAGGAGCAGGGUCAGGUCCAGGUUAUAUCUACCCAUGUCCGUUUCCCUGAUGCUUCCCCGCUGAGCCAUCACGCACCAGCUGAGCUCGGCUACACCCCGGCGGCCAGAUCGGGUAAAACGUGUGAAAUCAUGGGAUGAUGCAUAUCCAUCCAUCCACCCAUCUCCUCAUACACAUAUACACAGUGACAGUGAGGUAAGUACAUGGCUCCAAGUAGCUAGUGUGCAUACAUUUUCAUCUUGUCAUUUCGAUCCAUCUCUCUCCACGGGCGACUGUUCAAGCACUGUGUAUACGUGUGAUGGUGCUAUCUGCUAGUAUGUCUGAGACGUGAACGGGCGAUCGAUCUGCUACCAUCGCAUGAUCCAUGUGUUUUGGGAGAGGGUGCAGGGCUAGCUGAAGCCAACUGUAAUAGAUGGAUCGAUCGUCGUCAGUCAGGACCCAAUCAUUUCCAAUCUUCGGGUCUCUGCUUGCUCAAGAACCGGUCGAGUGAUUAAUCAGUGGGUGAUGAGCAUGUAUCCAUCGGAGCAACAACGCCGAUGACUGACUAGUGAAGGGAACUAUUUGGUGGUUAGGGUGCAUGCAUGGAUCCAAGCUACACCGCAGCACAACAACAACAAUAUUUAUGUGCGUGAUUCUGGGCUUUCAUCCACAGUAGACAGAACGCAACAAGACGGAACAAUGCAUGUAUCUUGAUUAUGCUGACAUGAAUACAUGUACUCCCUGUCGCUCAGACGGAUGUGUUUAACACUAA